GCAGCAGUCGAGCCGAGUGCCAAGAAUCCCGAGUCUGUAACUGGGGGACCGAGUCCCGUCCCGAUUCUCGAUUCUCGAGUCUUGAGUCCGAGGGAGGGGUUGACCAAGAGGGAAACCAGACGUGUCCUCGUUCCAGGACUACGACUUCGGCUCGAUCCGAUGCGAUUCGGCUGCGCUUUCGGUUCGGUUUCGGCUUUCGACGCACUGCACUCGCUGCGACCAGAGUUUUGAAGUUCACGCUGGCCGAGUUUCGAAUCAGUUGCCGCCGACUUGUUGGGUCACUUGCAUAUAAAUCGAUCAGUGCGCCAGUUAUCGGGCCAUCGAAACAAAAGCAAAACAUUUCAAUUAACUAACGAUCAAAUAGAAAGUGCCGCGAUAAAGCCGAGUGACUUCCCGAAAUAAAUAAUUAAUUAUCUGACUUUCCUGCCGCAAUGUCAAGGACGGUGUCGCAUUGUCGUUGCCAUCCGCUUGGCUGAAGCUAAUUUCAUUGAGAAGGAGAGCGAGGGGAUCCUGCCAGAAGGUAUUCCGUCAUCCGACUUCGAACAGCCGAUUUGAUUGUCACAUUUUUGAAAAAGGGGAAAGCGGUGGAGGUGUCACGAUGUCUUCUGUAUAUGGGAGUCGGUGAUUGGUACGAGUACGGGUUUGCUACUUAGAACCCGACCACGGAGAUCAAACACUUGGUCAAGCCAGGCGAAUUGUUGGGUAUUAGAGGAUUAGAACAGGGCCGCCUGGGCGUUGCAGUGACUAAUGGUUGGACAACGGGCAAAAUAUCAAAAGAGACAUGGCUUGCCUCAACAACUGACUCACCCCACUGGCCGGGGCACGCUAAUUUUUGCAGCAAUGCGGUGACAACGAAGCGUCUGUGUGUUUAGUCUUUCAACAGAAAAAUGCGGCACAUAAACAAAAUCACAAUCAAAAGCGCUGCAGAAGCAAAAGCUGAAUCUGAAACGCCGACCAGACUCUCGGACAACCCAUAUUUGUAGUGAUUACUGUACAUUUCGUGCCUUUUUGCCUUCACGUGCUCGCAGAAUGCUUUCGUAAUAGCUAUAAGCAUACGCACAGCCAUCGAGUGCGAGCAAAGUGUAAAGUGUACUGGGUAAAUCAGAUGAAGUGUAAAUCAGAGAAUGUGGAAGCCGGCGGCUCUCGGUGCGAAUUGAAUCCAAUUGAAAUGUGGACAUCUAGCGCAAUUGCCGGUCAUGGGGCCAGUUGAGAUGAAGGAUGAGUGCGGGUGUGCCCUCCGAACGCUUGAACUUCUCCAUUGGAAAUUAACAAUUUACCUAAUCCAGCAACCAGUGCAAAAACCUUUUCAAAUUCAAAAUCAAGCCGGUUAAAUAUCUACGAAAAAGUUGCCCAAUGGCAAUCCGCUCCCGCUCUCCUUCCGGCCCGGAAUUCCACUCAUCAAAAGGACUUGAGCCCCGUAAAGUGCCUUUAAAACUGCGCAUUUGAAAUUGACGUCAGAGACCUAAGCCUUAUCCUUCAAGGCGGCAAGCUAGCUUCUUGCGCCUUUUCUUCACUUCCCCGUCACCUCCAGCUAUUUCAAUUAAUUUCAGAAUCAACUGAGCGCGAGUCAUAUUUCCCAGUCCGGUUGCUUCACCGUCGCUGGAAGUGCACGAGCCGGAAAAGCGAUGAAAACUCAACAGUUUCCCACAGUUUUGCACUAUUUUGCACACAGUUUUGUUCCAUUUUGCAAUCUGUAAUGGAAAAUCUAAAUGAUGAAAACCUUUUGUGUGUUACGUCGCAGUGCUAGAAACUUUAAUUGCACAGUGCCACUGCCACUGCCAUGCCCGCCACCGAACCCAUUCUCCGCCACGUUGUCCUUGAGGGACAGGGUUAAUUAUGCCAAAAUAUUUUGUCAGCUUCACGUGGCAAGAGAGUUUGUCGUUGUCAAAAGGACAUUAGCCGGCUUUGUAGCGAGGCUUGUGAAAUCAGAACUUCCUUUGGCCGCCGGCUUUGUCCUUGAUCCUGCCGCCUCUCAUUGGUCGAGCUCUCAUCCUGACGUAUACGCAAUGCCGGCGACUUAAGGUCGGCAGAUUGCUUAUACGCCAUGUGGGUCAAUGAAUUAGCGGCGCUUGUUGUCGUAAAAAUUACUUUUUCGUUUUAUUCGUUUAUUUAUUUGUUUUUGUGUGCCAUUUGUUAGGCUUUACAGAUGUUUAAAUGCAAUGACGUAGUCAGCGAUUUGAUAAGGUUUAUUUAUAGCACUAGGAAACAAUGUCCAAUGUAAAUAAAUAAAUGUAAAAUUGCAGA